UUAUGUGAUCGUCUCUCGCAUAUCAAUAAGCGGAGGAAAAGAAACUAACAAGGAUUCCCCUAGUAACGGCGAGUGGAGCGGGAAGAGCUCAAAUUUGAAAUCUUAAAGGGUUUCCCUUUACGAAUUGUAGUUUAAAGAAGUGUUUUCUGUUGAGGUUUUGGUAAAAGUUCUUUGGAAUAGGACAUCAUAGAGGGUGAGAAUCCCGUAUUUGACCUUUACUUUCAACUUUGUGAUACACUUUCAAAGAGUCGGAUUGUUUGGGAAUGCAGUCCAAAAUGGGUGGUAAAUUUCAUCUAAAGCUAAAUAUUGGCGAGAGACCGAUAGCGAACAAGUACCGUGAGGGAAAGAUGAAAAGAACUUUGAAAAGAGAGUUAAACAGUACGUGAAAUUGUCAAAAGGGAAGCGUUUGACACCAGUGUUGUUUUUCUGAAAAUCAAUUAAAGAACUGUUUAUGCUAAGCUGUUUAGACUUUAUCAGCUAACUGUUUAGUUUUGAGCUUUUCUUUAAUGCACUUUUCAGUUAACAAGUCAACAUCAAUUUCUUUUGCUGUAAAAAAGCUUGAGGAAGGUGGCUUGAGAUUCGUCUUAAGUGUUUAUAGCCUCUUGCCUAUGCAGUCGGAGAGAUUGAGGUCUGCAGCGUAGAUCCUUCGGGGCUAAAUGCAUUUGUGCUAAGUUAUAGCAUUUUAUAGACAACUUGUUGACUAUGAUUUGUCUUGUAGCUUACUCGCUUAUGUUAUUUUACCUACGCUUAGGAUGUUGAUCUACAGAGCGAGAGU
rnacentral:rRNA from 1 species